GGUGCUGGAGAAAAGGUCCGCAAGUCGCAAAUCUUGAAAUCGCGCUAGGAGGCAAAAAAGGUUUUUUAAAUUUUUUUUUACUGUUUUCCUUUUUUUCAUAUUACGAAAGUUAAAGUGUUGAAGAAGUCACUCAAUAGAAUAAACAACAUUUUUAGGGUCACUAAAUACUUAUAAUUUGUCAGCAAAUUCGGCUUGUUUUAGUGAUUCUUACAGCCGGGUUUUGGAGGCGUGAUGGGGGUGCAGUUUAAUUAGCAUGUUUGAUUUCGUUGGCUAUUGUCACUUUGUUUCGGUCAAGCCACCGCCCAUAAAUAAAGCCGUGUGGUAGUAGCCUAUGUUUGUUUACUGUGUGAGGUUGCUAAAAUGGCGGACGGUCAAUCAGUAGAGGUGCGACCCAGGUGCUGUAUGUGGACCGCUGCUUGGAAGCAGCAGGUUGUGCUUGGCCUCAAGUCUGCAAUCAAGAGCUCAUUCGUGCAGCCAUUCACGCUGUGUUCUUCCUGCCCAGCCGGGAGCAAGAAAGACUGUUAAGGCUCAGAUGUGGAUGUCCUAAUGUGUCAGGGACAUGAACUAAAAUAAACAUUUGGUUCUCAUUUGGAGGAGAUCUGUACAGUAUGUGAGCAUGUGAGUUUGACUUUAAUGAGUCUUGUGGUUCUCAAAGAUCAAAAUAAAAAAUUUGAAUGUGAA